UCCGCCAGGGUACUACGAGCGCUAGCUUAAAACCCAAAGGACUUGACGGUGUCUCAACCCCACCUAGAGGAGCCUGUUCUAGAACCGAUAAUCCUCGUUUAACCUCACCAUCUCUUGCCCCCCCCCCGCCUAUAUACCGCCGUCGCAAGCUUACCCUAUGAAGGCCCCACAGUAAGCAAAAUGGGCAUGACCCAAAACGUCAGGUCGAGGUGUAGCUCACGAGAUGGAAAGAAAUGGGCUACAUUUUCUACUAUAGAAUAUCACGAAUCACACUAUGAAACUGGUGUUUAAAGGUGAAUUUAGCAGUAAAAA
rnacentral:rRNA from 1 species